rnacentral:rRNA from 1 species
UACAGAGGUCUCAAGCGUUGUUCGGAUUCAUUGGGCGUAAGGGUGCGUAGGCGGCGCGGUAAGUCGGGUGUGAAAUCUCGGAGCUUAACUCCGAAACUGCAUUCGAUACUGCCGUGCUUGAGGACUGGAGAGGAGACUGGAAUUUACGGUGUAGCGGUGAAAUGCGUAGAUAUCUGGAGGAACACCGGUGGCGAAGGCGGCAUUCUGGACCGACAUUGACGCUGAGGAGCGAAAGCCAGGGGAGCAAACGGG